rnacentral:lncRNA from 1 species
AGAUACAACUGGGGCCUCAGAGGUGAAUCAGAGAUGCAGGCACGUGUCAGUCUCAGGCGGAGUAUCUGGCGACCUGGGAAGGGAGGGCAGCGCAGGAUGUGCCAUUCUGUGACCGGAGGGAACGUGGGCCCCGAGUGCUCCUCAGACCAUAUUCCUUCCCCUCUGAGCUCGCCAGCAGCAGACCCCUUCCAGGUCCCCAACACCGCAGCACCAGCCGGGUGGUCCCAAGGAUUUGGAUGCCCAUGGCUUUGGGGAGUUAUCACUCACUCCACCUAGCACAAAGGCAAGGGAGGAGUAUGGGGACAGUGCCUGCAGACCUUGUAUGUGGAGGCUGUAAAUAAUGAAUUACAGAUCAGGAAGUUUGAUCAGCAGAAUGUUAAAGGACCUUGAAAACAUUUGCAAAGCUUCUCUAAGUGAUAGAGCCAUUCUUUCAGCUGACCAUGUUCCUGAAACAGUGUCAUCUUCUCCAGAGAACGCUUGGAUUUGGUACUUACUGAGGUCUAGUGGGCCACACAGUUUGUCUGCUGCCAAUCAGAUGGAGAACUCGACUUCUCCACUCCAGGCUGGCAUAUAACUGAACUGGAGACUGAACCCCCAGUUUAAAUGCAUCAACACGAGGAACAGAAACAAUCCUGAAGGAACAGCCGACACUGGACUGUAACAGGUGUUCACUCUCUCCUUCUGUCAAGCUGGUCUGCAGCUCUGGAUGGAAGCCAUUUCCAGAGAAAGGAUCCAUGUCCUGAGUCUCAGAAGGAAUUGUAAUGAGCGCACACGCCGUGGAGGACUGAAUCCUUUUACCUCUGGGUUUAUGUCUUCACACAGUACUGGGGACCGGCAGCUAUGCUUCCAUGUGUGACUGGACGUCCUUCGUCUGACGGCCAGCUGUUGUUCCAUGGUGUGGAUACAGCACAUCUUCUCCUCCUUCAUCCGCCAAUGGGCUCUCAGGCUCUUCCUCCUCUGGGCCUUUCUGAGGAAUGCUGCGGUGAACAUGGUCCGUGACUUCAGUUCUCUCGGAUGGAUAUAUCCUCACAAGUGGCAUUGCUGGUGCACAGGGCAAGCCCACUUUUAAUUUUUGGAGGGACCGUCACACUGGUUCCGAAGUGGCCAGCCUUCCUACCAGCGGUGCACCAGGGCUCAGCGCCUCAUGUCUCUUGUGAGGAAACAGAAAGGAAAGCAUCCCAGAGAAAAUAAUAGAACAAUAACAUCUGACAAGAAUAGGAAUGCAAAUCGAAUAACAUUUUAAAGAGGCAAAUAACACAAGGAAGGGAGAAUCCAAUUUACAAAACACUGAAAAGACUGAGAGAGACUAGGAGAGUAAAUUGUCAUUCAGAUUUGUGUUCAUGUCAAGACUUGGGUGUGGCCUGGCUUUAUCCUACCUUAGCUUCAGUCUCAACACUGGACCCCCUUCCCUCAGGACCAAGACUUAAGGGACACAACAUGUGUCUCUUGGUCCUCUUCCUUCCUGCCCAGCUCAGGGUGUGCACAGAGUAGCAUUAGGGCAGGUGUGUGAUGAGUGACCCAGAGGCAGUCCUGGAGCUGCAGGGACCAAACCUCCACCUGAACCAGGGCUUCUGUUUGGGAACCGCCUGCCCCCUCCCUGACUCUGUCACUUGCUGACCCAGGUCCUCAUUCUGGGUGACGAAUCCCCUCCCCUGCUCUCCCUUUAGCCCCAGCCCAGCAGAGCUGGGUUCUUUACUCUCUGAUAUGGCUUACAAACUUUCCAAUUGCAAUUUCUGUUUUAAAUAAAUGAAAGAGAAACAGAACGUGACCACUUCAUCAGGUAUUUGGCCACCCUCUCUCCUCACCACCAAACCCAGUCAGAGCCUCCCCACGAGUGGAUCCAUGACUCCAACUCGGCACUAAACAGAACCAAGUUUGGCUGCUGCUGACAGCUCCCUAAUCCUACUGGACCAGGUCAUUUGUGGCAGAUGCCAGGUAAGAGAUGGGGCCUCUAGACCCGGGUCUGCUCAGGAAAUAUCAGAAGAAGGUAGUGUUGUUUAGGAAACAAAAGCCUGACAAAUCCAGCUGAAAGAACACUGCAGAGACACACAUCUGAAGACCUUCGUGGACUGGGAGGGGGCCCAGGCCAUCGUAGGAGCUGUGUGCUCAAGGGGACCCGGGAAGAGCUGCCCUCCCGAGGACUUGGGUUGAACAGGGACAUAUGGGCUCCACAGAAGUGCAUGGGGUGUUGGAAUGCUGUUCAUAGUGAUGGUUCUUAUGACUGAAAAUCAGGACGUCAAGUUUAACUCUGAUGGUGAGAUCCUUUGAACUCUGCCCCCUUCCUCCCAGAAUCAAGAAGCAGAAGCAGGGGAAGAAGACCUUGAGGUUAUUGGUUAUUAGCAAAACCUGAAUCAGGGGUCAGAGCACACUGAUCUCAGCCUGUGAAAGCCCUGACCUCCCCUCCCCACCAAGUACACCUGCUCUCUGAAGCUGCACAUACCCUCUUAGCAGCACUAAGUAAAGUCAGAACAGGGCACCCCUUCCCCUGAGGAAACAGUUGGCCUUCCCAACAGAGAACAGAAAAGCAAGCCCCAGUCUGUUAUCUCUAGGGGUGAGGGUGGCUGCCUUUGAAGGACAGACUCAGCCACUCAAAGAUACGUCAGUACCCUGCCAAUCCCAAGUGACUCACGCCAAAAAACAUGUCAGAAGCAGCUCUAGAAAAUGCAAAACUUCAGAGGGAAAUAAUGGGUAGUUUGCAUGAAAGUGCUUAUCUUCUGGAAAACCUGAAACUCCUCCUCAAGAGGUCUGGGAAUAGAAAGAAAGAGGCAGGAACUAAAGAAACUUUUGCGUGAAACCAUGUUGAAGAUGCAUCAGCUCUUUUUUAGAGGUUACACAGAUGGUGACAGCUUGAAAUUGGGCAGAAAAGGUGACUCAGAAAAUGGAGACCAUCUAGACUACUGGUCAGUAGUUAGAGAAACUCACUGAUGCUGUGGCAUGUCAAUACAGCAUGGCACUGGCAAAAGAAUAGACAGAUCAGUGGAACAGAGUCGAGAGCCCAGAACAGGACCUGAACAAACGUAGUCAACUGAUGCCUGGCAAAGGAGCAAAGGCAGUAUGAUGGAGGAAAAGCGGCGUUUUCAAUAAAUGAUGCUGGGAUGACUGAAUACCCACAU